rnacentral:rRNA from 1 species
GACGAACCGUACGAACGUUAUUCGGAAUCACUGGGCUUAAAGGGUGCGUAGGCGGCGCGACAAGUUGGGUGUGAAAUCCCACGGCUCAACCGUGGAACUGCUGGGUAUACUGGUUGUCUUGAGCCAGCUAGGGGCGAGCGGAACAGACGGUGGAGCGGUGAAAUGCGUAGAUAUCGUCUGGAACGCCGAAGGUGAAAACAGCUCGCUGGGGCUGCGCUGACGCUGAGACACGAAAGCCAGGGGAGCGAACGGG